GUCUUAUUUCAUCUCCCUAUGUGUUUCUUUCUGCCGAAAGAUCUCUUUGAUCGUCGUUCCUCUUUCUCUCUGUAAGGUAAGAUUUGUACUGCCUUCUUAUUAUUUUUCAUGUUCUGUGCUUCGAUUGCUGUCUUUACUUCUGUUGUGUUGUCGUGUAUAUAUAUCAUGUCCGCUUCCUCCAAGAGGAAGCCGUGACGCCGGUGCGGCGUCGUUUUCUGUCGUUCAGAUUGGUCGUCGUCGGAAGUGCCGGCCUUUCCAUGGGCUUUCGGUUCCUUUCUGACUUUUCCGUUGAUGAUUUGAAGCAAACAUAUCUUUCCACAAAAAGAUAGCCCUAACGAAAACCUCCCACCUCCGACGACGUAUCAAAUGUUUCCCACCGUCGCACCGGACACACCAUCGCGUUGCCCGAGUCUUAUAUUAUUGUUGUCGUUUCUCUCCGCCACUGCUUCGCUCUAAUUGCUCAUCGACUCCGCUGCUCUCUCUCCCAAAAAUGACACCCUAAAUGACUGAUGGGUUGCCGACGGUGAGGCGCUGCAAGGUAGGUCGGUUGAAGGAGUCCAGAGCAUCUAUUGAUUCCGAUUUGGGGGUGUUUGGGAGAUGGCUACCAAAGUCCGUUCAAGGAGACGAACUAUUGAUUUAGUUUCGUCGAUUAGCAAUGGAGGUUAGACAGUUGGAUUCAUCAAGGAAAAUCACUAUUCUGAACAAUGCUUCAAGUGAGUUAAUGCAGGUAAUGUCACGUCUUUGGUGGUUCCAAUUGCUACUCUGGGAGCCGUGAGUUAUGGAUACAUGUGGUCGUAGGCCUGAAUUCGAAUCUCUAAUAUUCCAAUUGAUUGAAAACAUUCUCUGUCUCAGUAUUUCUUCCUUUGUGUAAGAAGUUUGAACUGUUUAUCUUUUUGUCUCUCAAUUUUAUAUGUUAGGGGUUUUCUUUCUCAUACCUCAUUUAUGUGACAAAGCAAAAUAUGUAAAAUAUUGUCUGAAACUUGACAAAACAUCUGGUCUCAGAUGCCCUUGAUCAGUUACAGUUAUUUAGAGAAUGGGAAUCAGUCCAUACUAUAAAUUCUCCAUCAAACUUAAAGAGAUGUUUUUUUUCUUGGAAUUGUCAACAUUCUCAUAGUUCUUAAAGGUCCAUGCUUAUUGAAUUCAUCUGAUUCAGCCCAACUCAGGUGCUCUAUCUAUAUCUAUGUUUUCUCUAAGUUUUUGUUUCUCCUUUUUGCCCUGAAAAUCGUACGAAGUUUCAAUGUAAUAUCAAUAUAUCAGCACUUGAAACAUCUUCUGGUGAUUUUUUG